rnacentral:lncRNA from 1 species
GAUUACUCUGAUUGAAUCAUGGCAAAAUACUUAUUCAGUUCUAACUGUUUAUCAAAUAAGCUUGGGUCUUUAAGGCUUGAUCUUGGUGAAUGCAGUAAAAAAUAUUUAAAUAAGAUCUUAUGUGUAAAACACUUCAAUGUGCCUUUUUUAUAUUUUUUUCUUUUUUAGGCCAACUCUCACGUGUUGGCGGAAAGUUAGCAAAAUAUGUUAAGGACUUAUUUCAGAGAUAAUGUUGCUAAACGAUUUACAGUCGAUAAUCUUUCGAAAGCAGAAAAACUCAGUGUCAAAGAAUAUGCGAAUUAUUUGAGAUAUGAUUGAAAUUUGCAAAGAAAGUAAAA